UACGGAGGAUGCAAGCGUUAUCCGGAUUUAUUGGGUUUAAAGGGUGCGUAGGCGGGAAAAUAAGUCAGCGGUGAAAUCUUAGAGCUUAACUCUAAAACUGCCAUUGAUACUGUUUUUCUUGAGUGUAGUUGAAGUAAAUGGAAUGUGUUGUGUAGCGGUGAAAUGCAUAGAUAUAACACAGAACACCUAUUGCGAAAGCAGUUUACUAAGCUACCACUGACGCUGAGGCACGAAAGCGUGGGGAUCAAACAGG
rnacentral:rRNA from 1 species